rnacentral:lncRNA from 1 species
CCCGGGUGGAAGCGAGAAGACUGACACAACAGCAGACUGAGCGUUUUUCAGUUCUGAUUAGACUCUAGUGUUGAGAUGACUGUCUGUCAUGAUAGCAUGUACUGAGUCGGGGCCAGUACCAGAUAAACACAUUAAACUAUAAUCCAUAAACGUAAGGUAACAACUGAGACCUAAUGGUGCUGUGACAACAACGUGAUUGAGUUUGCGACAGUGAAAAUACAUAUGGUAUGUUGUAUCUGAACAGGUUAGCUUACGAGCUAAAGUUACUUAGCACAGAUGAAAGUUCAAACAAAGACGUUUAGCAAACUGUUAAAGAACACAAACCAUCGUCAUAUGAGAAAUCCGACGCUAUGACUCUCCACAAGUUGUCCUUCAGGUCGGUAUCUUUGUA